rnacentral:rRNA from 1 species
GACGAACGCUGGCGGCGUGCUUAACACAUGCAAGUCGAACGGAAAGGCCCUGCUUUUGUGGGGUGCUCGAGUGGCGAACGGGUGAGUAACACGUGAGUAACCUGCCCUUGACUUUGGGAUAACUUCAGGAAACUGGGGCUAAUACCGGAUAGGAGCUCCUGCUGCAUGGCGGGGGUUGGAAAGUUUCGGCGGUUGGGGAUGGACUCGCGGCUUAUCAGCUUGUUGGUGGGGUAGUGGCCUACCAAGGCUUUGACGGGUAGCCGGCCUGAGAGGGUGACCGGCCACAUUGGGACUGAGAUACGGCCCAGACUCCUACGGGAGGCAGCAGUGGGGAAUAUUGCACAAUGGGCGGAAGCCUGAUGCAGCAACGCCGCGUGCGGGAUGACGGCCUUCGGGUUGUAAACCGCUUUCGCCUGUGACGAAGCGUGAGUGACGGUAAUGGGUAAAGAAGCACCGGCUAACUACGUG